UUAAGCGACUAAGCGUACACGGUGGAUGCCCUGGCAGUCAGAGGCGAUGAAGGACGUGCUAAUCUGCGAAAAGCGUCGGUAAGGUGAUAUGAACCGUUACAGCCGGCGAUGUCCGAAUGGGGAAACCCAGUGCAAUUCGUUGCACUAUCGUUAACUGAAUACAUAGGUUAACGAGGCGAACCGGGGGAACUGAAACAUCUAAGUACCCCGAGGAAAAGAAAUCAACCGAGAUUCCCCCAGUAGCGGCGAGCGAACGGGGAGCAGCCCAGAGUCUGAAUCAGCUUGUGUGUUAGUGGAACGGUCUGGAAAGUCCGACGGUACAGGGUGAUAGUCCCGUACACCAAAAUGCACAGGCUGUGAACUCGAAGAGUAGGGCGGGACACGUGGUAUCCUGUCUGAAUAUGGGGGGACCAUCCUCCAAGGCUAAAUACUCCUGACUGACCGAUAGUGAACCAGUACCGUGAGGGAAAGGCGAAAAGAACCCCGGCGAGGGGAGUGAAAAAGAACCUGAAACCGUGUACGUACAAGCAGUGGGAGCACCUUCGGGUGUGACUGCGUACCUUUUGUAUAAUGGGUCAGCGACUUAUAUUCUGUAGCAAGGUUAACCGUAUAGGGGAGCCGCAGGGAAACCGAGUCUUAACUGGGCGUUAAGUUGCAGGGUAUAGACCCGAAACCCGGUGAUCUAGCCAUGGGCAGGUUGAAGGUUGGGUAACACUAACUGGAGGACCGAACCGACUAAUGUUGAAAAAUUAGCGGAUGACUUGUGGCUGGGGGUGAAAGGCCAAUCAAACCGGGAGAUAGCUGGUUCUCCCCGAAAGCUAUUUAGGUAGCGCCUCGUGAACUCAUCUUCGGGGGUAGAGCACUGUUUCGGCUAGGGGGUCAUCCCGACUUACCAACCCGAUGCAAACUACGAAUACCGAAGAAUGUUAUCACGGGAGACACACGGCGGGUGCUAACGUCCGUCGUGAAGAGGGAAACAACCCAGACCGCCAGCUAAGGUCCCAAAGUCACAGUUAAGUGGGAAACGAUGUGGGAAGGCACAGACAGCCAGGAUGUUGGCUUAGAAGCAGCCAUCAUUUAAAGAAAGCGUAAUAGCUCACUGGUCGAGUCGGCCUGCGCGGAAGAUGUAACGGGGCUAAACUGUGCACCGAAGCUGCGGCAGCGACACUUAGGUGUUGUUGGGUAGGGGAGCGUUCUGUAAGCCUGCGAAGGUGGCCUGUGAGGGUUGCUGGAGGUAUCAGAAGUGCGAAUGCUGACAUAAGUAACGAUAAUGCGGGUGAAAAGCCCGCACGCCGGAAGACCAAGGGUUCCUGUCCAACGUUAAUCGGGGCAGGGUGAGUCGACCCCUAAGGCGAGGCCGAAAGGCGUAGUCGAUGGGAAACAGGUUAAUAUUCCUGUACUUGGUGUUACUGCGAAGGGGGGACGGAGAAGGCUAUGUUAGCCGGGCGACGGUUGUCCCGGUUUAAGCAUGUAGGCGGAGGUUCCAGGUAAAUCCGGUACCUUUUUAACGCUGAGGUGUGAUGACGAGGCACUACGGUGCUGAAGUAACAAAUGCCCUGCUUCCAGGAAAAGCCUCUAAGCAUCAGGUAACAUUAAAUCGUACCCCAAACCGACACAGGUGGUCAGGUAGAGAAUACCAAGGCGCUUGAGAGAACUCGGGUGAAGGAACUAGGCAAAAUGGUGCCGUAACUUCGGGAGAAGGCACGCUGAUAUGUAGGUGAAGCCCCUGCGGGUGGAGCUGAAAUCAGUCGAAGAUACCAGCUGGCUGCAACUGUUUAUUAAAAACACAGCACUGUGCAAACACGAAAGUGGACGUAUACGGUGUGACGCCUGCCCGGUGCCGGAAGGUUAAUUGAUGGGGUUAUCCGUAAGGAGAAGCUCUUGAUCGAAGCCCCGGUAAACGGCGGCCGUAACUAUAACGGUCCUAAGGUAGCGAAAUUCCUUGUCGGGUAAGUUCCGACCUGCACGAAUGGCGUAAUGAUGGCCAGGCUGUCUCCACCCGAGACUCAGUGAAAUUGAACUCGCUGUGAAGAUGCAGUGUACCCGCGGCAAGACGGAAAGACCCCGUGAACCUUUACUAUAGCUUGACACUGAACAUUGAGCCUUGAUGUGUAGGAUAGGUGGGAGGCUUUGAAGCGUGGACGCCAGUCUGCGUGGAGCCAACCUUGAAAUACCACCCUUUAAUGUUUGAUGUUCUAACGUUGGCCCCUUAUCGGGGUUGCGGACAGUGUCUGGUGGGUAGUUUGACUGGGGCGGUCUCCUCCCAAAGAGUAACGGAGGAGCACGAAGGUUAGCUAAUCCUGGUCGGACAUCAGGAGGUUAGUGCAAUGGCAUAAGCUAGCUUGACUGCGAGCGUGACGGCGCGAGCAGGUGCGAAAGCAGGUCAUAGUGAUCCGGUGGUUCUGAAUGGAAGGGCCAUCGCUCAACGGAUAAAAGGUACUCCGGGGAUAACAGGCUGAUACCGCCCAAGAGUUCAUAUCGACGGCGGUGUUUGGCACCUCGAUGUCGGCUCAUCACAUCCUGGGGCUGAAGUAGGUCCCAAGGGUAUGGCUGUUCGCCAUUUAAAGUGGUACGCGAGCUGGGUUUAGAACGUCGUGAGACAGUUCGGUCCCUAUCUGCCGUGGGCGCUGGAGAAUUGAGGGGGGCUGCUCCUAGUACGAGAGGACCGGAGUGGACGCAUCACUGGUGUUCGGGUUGUCAUGCCAAUGGCAUUGCCCGGUAGCUAAAUGCGGAAGAGAUAAGUGCUGAAAGCAUCUAAGCACGAAACUUGCCCCGAGAUGAGUUCUCCCUGAGACUUUAAGUCUCCUGAAGGAACGUUAAAGACGAUGACGUUGAUAGGUCGGGUGUGUAAGCGUAGCGAUACGUUGAGCUAACCGAUACUAAUGAACCGUGAGGCUUAACCUU
rnacentral:rRNA from 1 species